GGGGAAACCCAGUGCAAUCCGUUGCACUAUCGUUAACUGAAUACAUAGGUUAACGAGGCGAACCGGGGGAACUGAAACAUCUAAGUACCCCGAGGAAAAGAAAUCAACCGAGAUUCCCCCAGUAGCGGCGAGCGAACGGGGAGCAGCCCGGAGUCUGAAUCAGCUUGUGUGUUAGUGGAACGGUCUGGAAAGUCCGACGGUACAGGGUGAUAGUCCCGUACACGAAAGCACACAUGCUGUGAACUCGAAGAGUAGGGCGGGACACGUGGUAUCCUGUCUGAAUAUGGGGGGACCAUCCUCCAAGGCUAAAUACUCCUGACUGACCGAUAGUGAACCAGUACCGUGAGGGAAAGGCGAAAAGAACCCCGGCGAGGGGAGUGAAAAAGAACCUGAAACCGUGU
rnacentral:rRNA from 2 species